rnacentral:rRNA from 1 species
UACGAAGGGGGCUAGCGUUGCUCGGAAUCACUGGGCGUAAAGCGCACGUAGGCGGAUUGUUAAGUCAGGGGUGAAAUCCUGGAGCUCAACUCCAGAACUGCCUUUGAUACUGGCGAUCUUGAGUCCGGGAGAGGUGAGUGGAACUGCGAGUGUAGAGGUGAAAUUCGUAGAUAUUCGCAAGAACACCAGUGGCGAAGGCGGCUCACUGGCCCGGUACUGACACUGAAAAGCGAAAGCCAGGGGAGCAAACGGG